UACAGAGGUCUCAAGCGUUGUUCGGAUUCAUUGGGCGUAAAGGGUGCGUAGGCGGCGCGGUAAGUCGGGUGUGAAAUCUCGGGGCUUAACUCCGAAACUGCAUUCGAUACUGCCGUGCUUGAGGACUGGAGAGGAGACUGGAAUUUACGGUGUAGCGGUGAAAUGCGUAGAUAUCGGAAGGAACAUCGAUGGCGAAGGCAGCUUUCUGGACAAAUACUGACACUGAGGCACGAAAGCGUGGGGAGCAAACAGG
rnacentral:rRNA from 1 species